UUCACUCCCAGUGAGUUUGAGAGUUCUGCGCGGAAGAAGAGUUCCAGGAACUGGAAGAGGAGCAUUCGCUGUCAGGGCACCCAGCUGGGGAAGCUGAUUCAGGAAGGUCACCUGAAAACAGGAACGUACAAAGGAGGGUGCAGAAAGGCCAAUAGGUCACUGUUCCCGUCUGGUCACGCAACUGCAGUGUCUGACGAAGAUGAAGAAGCAGGAGAAGAAGAAGAUGAAGAAGAAGAAGAAGAAGAAGAAGAAGCAGAAGAAG